rnacentral:tRNA from 1 species
ACCGGUUUGUUUGGGCCAGACUCAGACCCAUCUUUUGAGGAAAAAGUAACAGUCUUUGCUUUUCUAGAACCUAUGGAUCAUUCUUAAAAUCAAGUAUUGACAAGGCCUGGGCCUUUACCUCUGUUUCUGUUGGGGAAGAAUUCGUCGACUUGGGUUUAUAUCAGCAGGAUAAGAAAUCUCGAGCUUUUUGUUGAUCAGGCGACACCCAGAUUUGAACUGGGGAUAAAGGAUUUGCAGUCCCCCGCCUUACCACUUGGCCAUGCCGCCAAAACAAUAAAAAAUGGAUAGAAAUUUUAAAUUCUAUUAUACUUUUUCCUAAAUUUUUCCUAAUUUUUGGGAGGAUUUUUGAGCCAUUUCUUCUAUUUCUUCUAUUUGAUUUUGAUCCCGAAUUACGUUGUACUUAUCCUUUUCUAAAGAAGAAUUCCUCUUUUUUAUUGGAUCUAGUUGAGAUCAUUUUCUUCAAUUAAUUGUAUCUUCAUACAUAUUUAUAUCAUUUAGAAACUUUCCUUUCUUUUCAAAAAAAAGUCAAAAGGGAAAAAGUGGAUUUAUGACUCAAAAAUUCAGGGCAAAUUGAACCAUUAACUAUACUAUUAAUUUCAUUAAUUUUGAAUUAAUGAACGAUUUUUUGAAAUUUUCAAUUAGAUUUCCUUAACUUAAUUUAAUGAAAAAAAAAAAAAAAAAAAAAAAAA